rnacentral:rRNA from 1 species
CCCUUAGAUGUCCGGGGCCGCACGCGCGCUACACUGAAGGAAUCAGCGUGGCUCUGUCCCUGGUCCGAAAGGAUUGGGAAACCCGUUGAAUCUCCUUCGUGCUAGGGAUUGGGGCUUGUAAUUAUUCCCCAUGAACGAGGAAUUCCCAGUAAGCGCGAGUCAUCAUCUCGCGUUGAUUACGUCCCUGCCCUUUGUACACACCGCCCGUCGCUACUACCGAUUGAAUGGUUUAGUGAGAUCCUCGGAUUGGCCAUCUCGGCGUGACUUCGGUUGUGCACGUGGUGGCCGAGAAGACGAUCAAACUUGAUCAUUUAGAGGAAGUAAAANUCGUANCA